AGUCAAGCGGCAUAGGAAAAACGGUUUAUUAAAUCAUACUAUCAACAUGCGGCGCCACGUGCGUUAUUUAUGCAGAUUUCUGUAAAUUUAGGGUACGUGGCACGGUCGUUAAUAGAAACUACUCAUGCCAUCUUUUGGUAGUGUGAUUUCAAAUUAAAUCCACGAAUUUAUCCAAAAAUCCAAAAUAUUAAGCAACCUUUGGCGCGCAAUGUCACACUACAUUCAACGGUGUCAAAAAGUUUUUUCAAUUUUAAAUGUUUCAAUUUCCAAUUUGAAUUAUUUUGCUACGUGUUGUGUUCGUGGUUUUCUCUCUUUAUUUUUAUUUGGAUUCGUUUGUUGGUGUUAUCUACUCCUAAAGUAAUCUCAAAAACAUUUAAGUUUUGAACUUUCGAAGGCUAAAAUUUGCUCUGGUGUGGACCUAUUAUACACUUAAAAGGCAACCUACAACGUUUAUUAAACAACUUCUGGCUGGCUGGAACACAUGAUUCUGGAAACAGUGCAUCUCUCUACUUGUGAAAGCUAUCCAGAAACAAAUCGACUUGGGCACCAAAAAUAACUUUGAGAAUUUAAACCAAAUUUCAUUUUUCAAGUGGACUUCAAUGAUGGACACCGUUUAAGACUUCUACCUUGCACAUAGUGUCUUUUAUUUAAUACACGCGUUCAUUCAUUCAUUUGUACAAAAGCCACAAAAACGUAUCUUAACUCCCUCCUUUUUCCCGUUAAGUUUCAAGGAAACUUAGAACUCCUGAAUCCACCAAAGUGGAGUCCUUACAUUAAAAUCAGAAAAACCUCUUACGCAUAAUAAGUUCAUAUAAGUAAAUUUGUUGUAAAGUCAUCUACGUGAGCCUACUACCAACACGAAAACAUACAAGAAAUGUUUGCACAAACUAUUAAAAGCACUAUUUUUCUGUGAAAAUUGAAUUGGGCACAUGUCUAAAACUCCAAUAGUACCUUAUUAGGGUCCGUAUUUACUUAUUUAGUUCUUUAAUUUUUUUCCAAGUUACAAAAUAAUGUUAAAUAACCGUUUUUUGAGGGUGAGGAAGUCGCCAAAUUAAUAUGUGGAAGCCAAACACGACAUUUAUUUCUUAUAAUUGAUAUUUUCAUAAUUUGUGAAACGUUAAUUUAUUAAUAAAUUAUUUUCAUUCA